AAUACGAGUUGAAAAGUUACGCACAGGAAAUUGGUAUUGAAACCAUAUCAUAAUAGCCGCCACUGCAUUUUGUAAAAUGAAUAAUAUGAUAGGUAUGUUUUAUUGGUAAAACACGAUUUAACCGUCUAAAGCAAUACACAGCUUACAUUAAAAACACGGAGAGAAAAUACAUCAAAAAGGUAAGUGAAAAUAUGAUAUUUCAUAAUUAUUAUAUAAGUAUACUUAAAUAAUUUUAAACGUUACAAUGUUACUAAUACCCCGUGUCACAGUUUAAAGAUAAACUGUAAAACUGUUCUAAAAAUGUACCAGAUCCAUAUCUGGUACACAACACUAAGGCCGUCCAGUGCGUGACCAUCAGUACGAUUCGGCCGCAUUUUGUACAAAUUGAAUACUUAAUUUUAAAAAAAUCUACAAUUAAGUUAGAAAUAUUGAAAAAGUUAAUUGCAUUUCGACACAUUUGUCUAAAUGAUUUAGUUAUUUAUCUCGGAUUAUAUUAUUUCCAAUUUAUUUGAAUAAGAUAGAAAAAAAAUCAAAACAUGAAAUACUGCCACUGUACAAAAUACACUUGGGUAUAUUUUACAUAUACGGUAUUUUUAUGUAGACAAAUAAAACCAUAAUAUUGUACAUAAAAUAAUAUUUUGUAUUAUUAAAAAAAAACGCGUUCAAUUUAAUGUUGCAAUAUUCUGGCAUACAAAUUGACGAUGCAUCAAGCUACAGUUACUGCAAAAGACUAUAACAGAUAAUUUGAAAAAAAAGUAUUAAAUUAAUUUCUUGUCUUUCCUUGUUAGAUUCGAAAUAUAAACUGUCAUUAUUAUUUAAUAAUAUAAUGGCAGUCUAAAAUUGAUUAUCAGCGGAAUAUUAAUCUGUAGGUUGUCUGUGAAAUUUAUGCGAGUUGACGAACGAUUUGUACGUAUUUUUCAGAUUUGACAAAAAAUAAAAGGAAAAAGAGUUAACACAUUAUGAUAUUCAGUAAAAGCUCUCUAAAACGGGCACUCUUAAAACAGAAUCCUCCUUAUAACGGAAUAUAUCAAUAAUCCGAGUUCAAAUGUUUCAAACAUUUCAACUUUUUUAUAUUUGUAAACUUACUAUAACGAACAAUUCGUUGGUCCCAAGCGAUUCCGUCGUAGAAAGGUUUUACUGUAUACUUAAACAAGGAGUUGCUACUCC